rnacentral:misc_RNA from 1 species
AUUGGAAUGCCGGGAAAUAAAUAAUUAGGCGUGUGGUGUGAGUGACGACGAGUUUGUUUGUGGUGUACUUUGACCAGAUCAUAUCCUGUAGUUGAUAUCGUUACUCUAGGCGACAUGGUGCACCGAGGAGAGUUCUACAUGGGCUCCGGGCUGUUACAGCCUCUGACUGUCAUUGGAUUACCGCUAGAUCAGAUCAACUUCCUGGUAUGUCAGCUGACCGCCCUGUUCCUGGGUUUCUACUUCAGGAAGAACUGGUCGCCCCAGAAGAUCAGCGUGGUGCAUCGCCACGCCCUGGAGAUGGCCGUCGGCUUCCUCCUGACCUUUUUCUGCUUUGGAUAUAGCUGUCAUAUCUUCAAAUAACACCAGAUAGAAAAGUACUAAUGUGGAUUUAACAGAAUAUUAAGUGCAUGUGAUGGAACCAAAGUUCAGGAUGGUUUAUUUCACAAUAGCAUCAGAAGAAUUUGGUAUGGGCAUCAUCAAUGUCAUGCUCUCUCAUGAUUUUUCUGUUAACUAAUGUAAUAAUUCAAAUAUUUAUUUGAUAUCUGGCAUUUACACUAUAGUCUGAUUUAUGCAUAUCUUAACAAAUUGCAUUUGUCUUAAAUAUCCAGCUGUAACAUCUGUUUUCUGCUUCUAAUAUAUUUUAUAUCUGAGUGGCUGUGGAAAUCUGAAAUCUCCUGGUUCAAAAAUAAUGUCUGGUCAUAAAGUCUGAUGUCAACUUAUCCUUCUCAGACAUCUAGCUGAUCAGGUGAUCCAUGUAGUGCUGAUGGGGUGGCUGUGUUACGCUCUGAUUCUCCACGCUCCGCGCGACAAGUUCCACGUCCUGGUCUUUAUCUUUGGAAUGGGCUACCUCUGUAUCAUGCACAUAUAUCGCCAGUACUACGACUAUGGAGGAUAUUCACUGGAUAUCACAGGUCCUUUGAUGAUUUUGACUCAGAAGGUGACCAGCAUUGCUUUUGCAAUGCAUGAUGGGAUGCAGAAAAAAGACCAGGACUUGAAUCCAGAUCAGAAGAUAAUGAAAAUAAAAACGACUCCCACGGUCCUGGAGUACUUCAGCUACCUCUUCAGUUUCCACAACGUCAUGGUUGGACCCACUGUGUUCUUCAAUGACUACAUCAAGUUUAUCGAGGGCAGCGACGGAUCCUACCAAUCUCCAGAUAAAACUCCAACAGAGCCAAACCCAGAGGCAGCGGUCAGAGAGAAGCUGGUGGUAGCCGCGAUAUCAGGAGCGGUGAUGGUGCUGGCUCCGCUCUUCAUUCCUGUGAACUAUAUGACAGAUGAGGAAUUCCUGUACGGAACAAACUGGGUGUAUCGUAACCUGUACGUGUUGAUCUGUGUCUCUCUAGUUCGUGGGAAGUAUUACUGUGCUUGGAAACUAGGUGAAGCAGUGAAUAACGCCGCUGGUCUUGGGUUUAAUGGUUAUGAUGACAAAGGGAAUGCCAAGUGGGAUCUUCUAAAUAAUGUCAAAAUUUAUGAGCUAGAGGUAUCAAACAGCCUCAAAGUGAACAUAGAUUGUUGGAACAUCACGACCUUGGUCUGGUUGCGGCGGGUGAUCUACGACCGGGUGCCCCCCAAGUACCGCACCGUGUCAACCUUUAUGGUCAGUGCCCUGUGGCAUGGGUUCUACCCAGGGUACUAUAUAUGUUUCACGGGGGCUGCACUAUGCACCGUGGCAGCCCGCCUGAUGAGGAGAAACGUCCGGCCAUAUUUCCUGGAUUCCCCGGACAAGAAGGCCGUGUAUGAUGCCGGCACCUUCUUCUAUACGAGAUUCACCAAUGUCUACCUGGCCUCCAAUUUCUGCCUGCUUGAAUUAGUUCCAUGUUUAACUUUAUUAUGGUCUCUCUUUUUCUGGAUUCACCUGAGUGCAAUAGGUGUGAUUGUUUACUUUACAUAUUUACAUCCAAAAAAGAAAUCGGACACAAAGGAGAGAACGGAGAAGUCGCAGUAGUUAGUUCCUGAUGUGAGAGUGACGACCAUUACUGUCUGUCGGGGUUUGUGUAAUUUAGGCAGAUUAGAAAAUGUAAGGACGGACCAAUCAUCAACUUACAAAUAUGAUCAAACAUUCCACAAUAUCGAAUUGACAGCAGAUCGAGCAGUCAAUGGAAGGUUUCUGAAUCAUUCUGGAGGCGACUGUGCAGGAACAGACGUCAGUAAAAAACACACGCAGGCAUGGUGGAACAUUUCUCUACCCGACCCGGCAAUCAUUUACAAAAUCAACUUAAUGUUCAGAGAAAAUAAUAUCCGCCAUUACGGUUACUAUGUCUUUAUCAACAAAGAGGAUAUUAACAUUGAAGGUUUGACCUCCCUGACUCCCGUGUACCACGAAGAGAAUGAAAAGCAUCCCGGUGUCCAGAAUAUUAUCAUGUUCCCUGGUGGUAUCCAAGGGAAACAAACGUACAUCUAUCAGAACAAAUCCAAGCCAAUAAAUGAUAAUGUCGAUCAGCAAAACAACGUGUUAGACAUUUGUGAGGUGGAGAUAUGGGGUUGCUUCAACUACACUGAGGACGUUAAUUGCACAUGUUCGCAAAAUGAGAGUGACACCCCCCUCCCAAAAGCAAUUCUAUCAUCGAUCGUUGCCUGGCCUAACAAUACCCUGACUUUGAUAUGUCACCAGGGAAAUGUAAAACUCGGAGAUACAUUCAAACCAAAGUUAGAUUUAAUUCACAACAACAACACAAUUUCAUUCACUUGUUUUGAUGGAUGCGAAUGCCCUUGUAAACGAUUAGCGUCACAGAAUUUCAUCAAAGAUCCAAUUGAUCUUCAACAGAGAAUUGAGGAAAUCAAAAAAUUCCUGGCGGUGAAUAGAUCUGAGUUAUCUGCUUUUAAGAGGAAGAAGAUAUCAAGCUAUGACGGACGUGCCUCCUCUACCGGAAUAGGGAUGACUCUGGGGGUAGGGGUGAUAACCUUCGUUAUUGGCGCCAUCGUCUGUAGUGAUCUUCUCACGUGCAAAAACAGGAAUCAAAGAAGAAUGUUUCGUAAGACUUUGUGACUUUUUAUACCGUGGAACACCCUCUGAAGUCAAAAGCAAUUGCUUAGUUAGAUGACAUCUAAUAGUAUGGGGGGAGGGGGUUCCGAUAUUUUUUUUUAUAAAAACAUACGUAUUAUUGAAUAUGAGACAUGAACAUUUUAC